rnacentral:tRNA from 1 species
UUUGGAUAGCUCAAUGGUUAGAGCAAUCGAUUUUUGAUCGAUCUGUAGCGGGUUCGAAUCCCGCUCCAAAACCA